UACAGAGGUCUCGAGCGUUAGGCGGAAUCACUGGGCUUAAAGCGUGUGUAGGUGGAUCGUUAAGUACCUUGUGAAAUCCCACGGCUUAACCGUGGAACUGCUUGGUAUACUGGCGGUCUUGAGCCAGCUAGGGGCUACCGGAACAAAUGGUGGAGCGGUGAAAUGCGUAGAUAUCGAGAGGAACACCUGCGGCGAAGGCGGGUUGCUGGGCUGACACUGACGCUGAUGUGCGAAAGCUAGGGGAGCGAACGGG
rnacentral:rRNA from 1 species